AUACGGAGGAUCCGAGCGUUAUCCGGAUUUAUUGGGUUUAAAGGGUGCGCAGGCGGCCAUUUAAGUCAGCGGUUAAAUCGUGGGGCUCAACCCCAUUCUGCCGUUGAUACUGGGUGGCUUGAUUGCGGUCGAGGUUGGCGGAAUUCGUUGUGUAGCGGUGAAAUGCAUAGAUAUGACGAAGAACACCGAUUGCGUAGGCAGCUGACCAGACCGUAAAUGACGCUCAUGCACGAAAGUGCGGGGAUCGAACAGGAUUAGAUACCCUGGUAGUCCGCACAGUAAACGAUGAAUACUUGUUUUCGGCGAUAUAAUGUCGGAGGCAAAGCGAAAGCGAUAAGUAUUCCACCUGGGGAGUACGCCGGCAACGGUGAAACUCAAAGGAAUUGGCGGGG
rnacentral:rRNA from 1 species